rnacentral:rRNA from 1 species
UACGUAGGGUGCAAGCGUUGUCCGGAAUUAUUGGGCGUAAAGAGCUCGUAGGCGGUCUGUCACGUCGGCUGUGAAAUCCCGAGGCUCAACCUCGGGUCUGCAGUCGAUACGGGCGGACUUGAGUACUGCAGGGGAGACUGGAAUUCCUGGUGUAGCGGUGAAAUGCGCAGAUAUCAGGAGGAACACCGGUGGCGAAGGCGGGUCUCUGGGCAGUAACUGACGCUGAGGAGCGAAAGCGUGGGGAGCGAACAGG